rnacentral:lncRNA from 1 species
AAAUUUACUUUUUGCUCAGGACCCUCUUGAAAAAUGGGAAUUUACUUUGUUUUCAGGCCCCUCCUGAAGAAUGGGAUGUUAUUUUUCCGUGUCACCUUUUAUUUUGAGUUCAGGAACAUAUUUGAAAAAUAAAAAAAAGAAAGUCCAGGAGUCCUGCAGAACCGGGUGAAGAUGUAAUAAGUUAGGAGCCCGUUUGAAGAACAGGGUGAAGAAAUAACAAGUCAGGAGCCCGCCUGAAGAACAGGUUGAAGAUAUUGUUAGUCCAGGAUCCCGUCUGAAAAACAGAGUGAAGAAAAAUGAAGUCCAAGAUCCCGCCUAAAGAAUAGGGCGAAAAUUAUCAAUUGCAAGUCAGGAGCCCGCCUGAAGAAUAGGGUGAAGAUUUUAAAGUCCGAACCAGAAGAAAAUCUGAAGAAUAAAUCAAUUGUCAAGUUCCUCUUUAAUGUCAAAAGCAACCGAGGUGGAACAUUUUAUGUUUCAAGUUCAA